rnacentral:rRNA from 1 species
GACGAACGCUGGCGGCGUGCCUAAUACAUGCAAGUCGAGCGGACUUUCCGGAGUGCUUGCCCUCCGGAAGGUUCGCGGCGGGCGGGUGAGUAACACGUAGGCAACCUGCCCAUAAGACCGGGAUCACAUUCGGAAACGAAUGCUAAUACCGGAUAGACGGACCUCUCGCAUGAGGGGAUCGGGAAAGGCGGUGCAAUCUGCCGCUUAUGGAUGGGCCUGCGGCGCAUUAGCUGGUUGGUGGGGUAACGUCCUACCAAGGCGACGAUGGGUAGCCGAACUGGGAGGGUGGUCGGCCACACUGGAGCUGGGAACCGGUCCAGACCCCUACGGGAGGGAGCAGUAGGGAAUCUUCCGCAAUGGGCGGAAACCUGACGGGGCAACCCCGCGGGGGGGAGGAAGGGCUUCGGGGCGUAAAACCCUGUUUUCAGGGAAAAAAAGGUGUGGAAGUAACUGUGCCUGGCUUGACGGGAACUAAGGAGAAAGCCCCGGCUAAAUACGUG